CCUACGGGUGACUGCAGUGAGGAAUAUUGGUCAAUGGGCGCAAGCCUGAACCAGCCAUGCAGCGUUAAGUAUGACUGCUCUAUGAGUUGUACUCUUCUUUUAUAAAAGAAUAAACGCAGCCACGCGUCCCUGUCUGAAUGUACCUUAUGAAUAAGGAUCGGCUAACUCCGUGCCAGCAGCCGCUGUCAUACGGAGGAUUCAAGCGUUAUCCGGAUUUAUUGGGUUUAAAGGGUGCGUAGAGGGUUGGUUAAGUCAGAUGUGAAAGCCCGCGGCUCAACUUUGGAAUUGCAUCUGAUACUGGUCGUCUUGAGAGUAGUUGCGGUAGGCGGAAUUGAUGGUGUAGCGAUGAAAUGCUUAGAGAUCAUAAAGAACACCGAUUGCGAAGGCAGCUUACUAAGCUACCUCUGACGUUGAUGCACGAAAGUGUGGGUAUCAAACAGGAUUAGAUACCCCAGUAGUC
rnacentral:rRNA from 1 species